UGUAAGCGUAUACCAAAGUUGUUGCGGUUAAAACGCUCGUAGUCGGAAUUUGGCAGUUCCGGAUGUGUGCACGUCGUGUGCGCACUUCGCGGGGAUUGCUUUUGUGGUCUUGCGUAGGAUGAGGCACUUUUAUUAGUGAGCGUCCUCACGCAACCACUUUUUACUGUGAGAAAAUCAGAGUGCUCAAAGCAGGCAUUUGCCGUGAAUGUAUUAGCAUGGAAUAAUAGAAUAGGACUUGGUUCUAUUUUGUUGGUUUGUUGGGACUGAGUAAUGAUUAAGAGGGACAGUUGGGGGCAUUUGUAUUUCGGUGCUAGAGGUGAAAUUCUUAGAUUACCGAAAGACAAACUGCUGCGAAAGCGUCUGCCAAGGAUGUUUUCAUUGA
rnacentral:rRNA from 1 species